UCCACUGUACAUAUUCCAAGGCAGACCCAGAGGGAUGGAGGCGUGGGAAAGAUGAGGAGCCUGGGCAUUGCAAGGCAGGCAGGGACUGGAGGAGCCACCAUAGCCCAGAUGGAGGCCGGGAAGAGGCCUGCAGGGGCACGCACCCUCACGCCUGCAGAGCAGGACGGACAGCCUGCUGACCGGGGAGAGGGGAGAGAGACCUUGGGCAGUGUGGGGAAUUAAGAACUGUGAAACGUGUACUUCAUAGUUUUUUUGGGGGGUAAACUCAUUAUGCUGCUCAUAAGAGGGCAAGAUUUUAUCAUUCACUUUAUGCAUAUAGAUAACUUUUAUAGAUCAUUCUUAGAACCACUCAUGUUUUAUCUGUAUGAUCUCAGGAACUACCUAGAGACCUCAAUCAAAUAUACACUGGUUUACACUGUGUCCUUCCGACAAGAAUCCUCUUCCACCUCCAGACCUGAAUAAACGCUGCCUCUUUCGCCCUUCCCGGUACUUUACCCUGCGGGACUGGAGCCAGCAGCCCCUCCCUGGGGAGCACUUCCCACCCCCUCAACUGGGCGGGUGCUUAGGGGGUGUGUUCUGUGCUUCUCCACAACGCACUUUUGUGUUUCUUGCAUGGUCUCCUCUGUUAGAAAGCAAUGACUUCAUCGACCUUGUCCAUGUUAUACACAAAAUUCCUGCAGCACAGUAGGCAUGUAACAACACAGACUUCAUGCGUGAACACAAAUUAUGAUGUCCAGGUAUCUUCAACAGCAAAGGGUAUUCACCUGGGGAGAAAUAUGGAGUCUAUGUGUUGUUGUGAAGGGCAGAUGGAGAACGAGUGCAUAAACAGCACAGUAAAACCCAGGCCUAUUAGAACAUGGAACCACAGUCAUCACUGGAAUCUGCAGUCACAGCGGAAGCCCCAUCACGGGGGCUCAGAGGUGAAGCGGGAAGA
rnacentral:lncRNA from 1 species